rnacentral:lncRNA from 1 species
AACUUAUAUGCAAAUCUUGGUACAACACAUGUCUGUUACGCCAACUUUUUUUUUUUAAUUUAAAUUCCGACUUUUAUUCAUCAUCCCAAAUGGGCAUAAGUAAUGGAUACAAACAGAGACUCAGAUAAAAUCCGUACAACCUAAAACUGCUCCGCUACACUUCCGAAUGAUACACAGACGGGUUACUUCGCUAAACUCCGGACCCAACUCUAAGAAGGAUACACAGACAAGCCGCUUAUCAUAACCCCAGACCCAACAUCGGUGAUCACCGGCUGGUUCCGGUUAAUCGGGGCGGGAGAACAAGUCUCCGCUUCCUCCUCCCCGAAUGAUCCAUUACCACCAUGAAGAUCAGAGAGAUUACAACACAACAUCACGAUCUAAAACUAUCACAACCUAAACACAAGAAAAAAAA